CAAGCCAGAAGAGGCGCGUCGCCCAGGCAGUGUGUUCGAGGAGCCGUUAUCCGCAGACAACACAUCAGGGGGAGCGACGCCGAGGCGGGCGAUCCACGGCGGAAAGCUUGUCGACUACAGGGGCUGAAUCCUCUGGGUUGUCACCAGGCGCGUGCGGCAGUCGGACGCGCCGCAAGGUGGGGCGCUUCUGGGUGC
rfam:Pantoea sp. PSNIH2, complete genome.